rnacentral:tRNA from 1 species
GCGGGGAUGCCGGAGUGGCCAAACGGGGCAGGCUUAGGACCUGCUGGCUUAGUGCCUGCGUGGGUUCGAAUCCUACUCCCCGCA